AGAGUUUGAUCCUGGCUCAGGACGAACGCUGGCGGCGUGCUUAACACAUGCAAGUCGAACGAGGUCCAUGGUGCUUGCACCGGAAGACCUAGUGGCGAACGGGUGAGGAACACGUGAGAAACCUGCCCCGGACUUCGGGAUAACAGUUGGAAACGACUGCUAAUACCGAAUACCGCUGCGGAGUCGCAUGGCUCUGCAACGAAAGAAUUUCGGUCCGGGAGGGUCUCGCGGCCUAUCAGCUAGUUGGUGGGGUAACGGCCUACCAAGGCAUCGACGGGUAGCUGGUCUGAGAGGAUGAUCAGCCACACUGGGACUGAGACACGGCCCAGACUCCUACGGGAGGCAGCAGUGGGGAAUCUUGCGCAAUGGGCGAAAGCCUGACGCAGCAACGCCGCGUGCGGGAAGAAGGCCUUCGGGUUGUAAACCGCUUUCAGCAGGAACGAAAAUGACGGUACCUGCAGAAGAAGGUGCGGCCAACUACGUGCCAGCAGCCGCGGUGACACGUAGGCACCAAGCGUUGUCCGGAUUUAUUGGGCGUAAAGAGCUCGUAGGCGGUUCAGUAAGUCGGGUGUGAAAACUGUGGGCUUAACCCACAGCCUGCACUCGAAACUGCUGUGACUAGAGUUCGGUAGGGGAGCGGGGAAUUCCUGGUGUAGCGGUGAAAUGCGCAGAUAUCAGGAGGAACACCGGGUGGCGAAGGCGCCGCUCUGGGCCGACACUGACGCUGGGGAGCGAAAGCGUGGGUAGCAAACAGGAUUAGAUACCCUGGUAGUCCACGCCGUAAACGUUGGGCACUAGGUGUGGGUCUCAACCAACGAGAUCCGCGCCGUCGCUAACGCAUUAAGUGCCCGCCUGGGGAGUACGGUCGCAAGACUAAAACUCAAGGAAUUGACGG
rnacentral:rRNA from 1 species